UGCCAGCCGCCGCGGUAAUACGGAGGGUGCAAGCGUUGUUCGGAAUUAUUGGGCGUAAAGCGCGUGUAGGCGGUUCGUUAAGUCUGAUGUGAAAGCCCGGGGCUCAACCCCGGAAGUGCAUUGGAAACUGGCGAACUUGAGUACGGGAGAGGAAAGUGGAAUUCCGAGUGUAGAGGUGAAAUUCGUAGAUAUUCGGAAGAACACCAGUGGCGAAGGCGGCUUACUGGCACAUUUCUGACGCUGAGGCGCGAAGGCGUGGGUAGCGAACGGGAUUAGAUA
rnacentral:rRNA from 1 species